AAAGGAUAGACAUUAAAAAAUAAAAUGAAAAUAACAAAAGGUUGCCCUUAUCAAUUGAGCAAGCCAAACAGGUAAAUAUGAAAAAAAAAGUGAGUAUCUAUGAUACAUUUAAUAUUGAUCUAUUUCUAAGAAGUUUUCUUGAAGAUCUAUAAAUUCAAAAAAUUGAAACAAAUAAACAAAACAUACUACUUUUACAAUAUAAAGUGAUCGGUACAUUUCUAAUUGGGCAAGAUUAGGAGAAAAAACAUGGCUAAAAUUAUUAAAUUUGUUUAUUUAGUGAUCCUCUUUAUUUUCUUAGUUGUUGUUGUAACUGACAUUACUGCACAGGGGAAGCUAAAUUGCGAGAAGGAUUCUGAUUGUUUCAUGUUUUCUUGUGUACCUGCUGCUUUUCCAAAAUGUGUUUCUUUCGAAUGUAGAUGUCCUUUUUCCGCCACUAUUGAAAAAUAAACUCGAUUGUAAAAGAUUAAUAUUGUAAUAUCUCAAAUAAGGGAGUUAAAAUUUCAUCUCAAAUAGUCAUAAAAAGGCCAUUGGAGAUAUUGUUAUAUAUUAAUAUUUUAUUGUGUUCCUUA